rnacentral:lncRNA from 1 species
CUCUCAGUUCAACUUGCUUAUCUUGAAAUCCCCUUCGUAUCUCUUUUAUUUGGAGAUUAAGCCUAUAGAUUGUUAGCCGAAAUCUAUAAAUUUGUCAGAUCUAAUUCUCUAGACCGUUGGGCCACAUUCUAGCUAUUUGUUUAGAGAGAAGUUUGCAUGCCAACCAUAGAAUCAAAGUUGUUAGUCAUGGACGUUGUCAUGGGCUACACCCAAGUGGCCAAUCGAGCUGGCAAUUUGA